rnacentral:rRNA from 1 species
ACGUAGGGUGCGAGCGUUAAUCGGAAUUACUGGGCGUAAAGCGUGCGCAGGCGGUUCUCCAAGUCCGUUGUGAAAGCCCCGGGCUCAACCUGGGAAUGGCAGUGGAAACUAGGGGACUGGAAUCUGGCAGAGGGGGGUGGAAUGCCGCGUGUAGCAGUGAAAUGCGUAGAGAUGCGGCGGAACACCGAUGGCGAAGGCAGCCCCCUGGGCUGAGAUUGACGCUCAGGCACGAAAGCGUGGGGAGCAAACAGGAUUAGAUACCCUGGUAGUCCACGCCCUAAACGAUGGCAACUAGGUGUUGGGGAAGCGAUUUCCUGGUACCGCAGCUAACGCGUGAAGUUGCCCGCCUGGGGAGUACGGUCGCAAGAUUA